rnacentral:rRNA from 1 species
UACGGGGGGGGGCAAGCGUUGUUCGGAAUUACUGGGCGUAAAGGGCUUGUAGGUGGCCAACUAAGUCAGACGUGAAAUCCCACGGCUUAACCGAGGAACUGCGUCUGAUACUGGAUGGCUUGAGUGUGGGAGAGGGAUGCGGAAUUCCAGGUGUAGCGGUGAAAUGCGUAGAUAUCUGGAGGAACACCGGUGGCGAAGGCGGCAUCCUGGACCAUGACUGACACUGAAAAGCGAAAGCCAGGGGAGCAAACGGG